AUGUGGGUGGUUGCGAGCACCAUGCGGGAGAUUUCGUUUUUUAAAUGACAAAAAUGCAAGUUGGUGGUUUAUACCUUGGCCGGAUGGAAGAAAACACAUUGGCAACGAGUGGAACGCUUUCAUAUGAGGAUUUCCACUCAUACAUUUCUAUAAAUAGACAUAUAACAACAAAAUGUGUAAAUGUUUCAACGGAGUUUGGCUUUAGGGUAAGGUGGACUCAAAACAAGGGCCUCUGACUUGGAAGCUCGACACGCUUUGGUCCGGCAGUGUCAGAGGUGUCAUGUGUUUCCGGCGUCAUCCUCCGUCCAGCUUGACAAAGCUGCACCCUUCUGCUGCCUUUCCUUUGCGCUGCAACUCGCCACCGCCCACAGAAAACAGCGCGGAAAUACCCAGAUGACGCACUUGAAAGCAUCAGAAAAGGUACCCUGUGGCCAAGUGGAAAGGGAAC